GCCUCCAUAGCUCAGUUGGUAGAGCAGCGGAUUCUUAAUCCGCGGGUCCUAGGUUCGAGCCCUAGUGGAGGUA
rnacentral:tRNA from 1 species